rnacentral:rRNA from 1 species
UACGUAGGGUGCGAGCGUUGUCCGGAAUUAUUGGGCGUAAAGGGCUCGUAGGCGGUCUGUCACGUCGGGAGUGAAAACACGGGGCUUAACCCCGUGCCUGCUUCCGAUACGGGCAGACUAGAGGUAUGCAGGGGAGAACGGAAUUCCUGGUGUAGCGGUGAAAUGCGCAGAUAUCAGGAGGAACACCGGUGGCGAAGGCGGCGAUCUGGGUCGAUACUGACGCUGAGGUGCGAAAGCGUGGGGAGCAAACAGG